GAGAAAAUAAAGUCAAACGGGUUUGGAAACGACGUGAGGUGGCCUCUACAGAUGUCAGGGAAAACACAGGGUUAUGAAGAAACCGUAGGAGGAACAAUGGCUCGAAAAAGGACACCCGUCCUCCUCUGCUCGACGGGUAAAGUAUAUGUGGGUUACCCAUUACGGCAUUAGUCACUGUAAAAGCACAGUGUUUUACCACUUGUAGUGGCAGAAAUGCUGUGGAUCACUUUUAAAAGUUGUGUGAGAAAGUUACAGAAUGAUUGGCAGUUUAAAUGGGGGAAAUUCUUUAGCGGAGACAUUUUUUUUUCUGCCAUAUUUAAUGCACAUACCCUACCUAAGACCCCUCACGGGUUUUCACAAUUCACAGAAACUCUCUUUCAUCUCUGCUGCAUCUCUCUCUUCAUUCACACGUAGCUGUUGUAAAGCAUGAGACAGAAAUGGCAGCCCUCUCUAAAAAUGGCAUUUGGUGUGAAGAUAAGACUCAUUACAACCAUCCUUUGAUCAUACUGCAUUUUACAGAAGAACAAAAAGUAUGUGUACAUACUCAUAACAUGGUCUCCAUAUUUCUUUCAGGAGCUCAAUUUGUCCUUCUGCACAGUUUUGGCAAGAAAAAGCCAUCUGAAGGCAUGAAUGUAAAUAGAGCAUCGGUCUGUGGUUUAUGACAGAGAGCCUACGCAACAAACAACAAAAGGUCUACUUAUUACAGCAAAAGCCUACGCUAAAAGGAAAUCGCACACUUUUACGCAGAGAUGUUUAUUUGUGUUGCCAUUGUGGGCCGCUCUCAGUGCCUCACCACUGAACUACAGGCCUGAGAGGAAGUUUCCAGUGCGGUUACCAUGACGAGGGUCUUGGAGUUCAGGUAGGAAGUUUUAAAAUAAUUUUCAGUGCUAAGAGAAAUGACAUCCAAGAGGGACACAGACAAACAUUUGUCCAGAUGAGCUG